UACAGAGGUCUCAAGCGUUGUUCGGAUUCAUUGGGCGUAAAGAGCGCGCAGGCGGUCAAUCAAGUCGAGUGUGAAAGCCCCCGGCUCAACUGGGGAGGGUCAUUCGAUACUGAUCGACUCGAAGGCAGGAGAGGGUAGUGGAAUUCCCGGUGUAGUGGUGAAAUGCGUAGAUAUCGGGAGGAACACCAGUGGCGAAGGCGACUACCUGGCCUGUUCUUGACGCUGAGGCGCGAAAGCUAGGGGAGCAAACGGG
rnacentral:rRNA from 1 species